rnacentral:lncRNA from 1 species
CGAUCUCGUCCUUUCCGAGGUCCUCUGCCGCGUGUUUGGAAGUUAUGGCCGCGCGGGUCUGUGGUGUUCUCCCUGAAAGGCCUAAGCUUUGGGUGAUGGCAUUGCCUUUUGGCACUCGGGAGACAAGAUGCAGGUUCCGUCUCAGAAGUAAUGGCUGGAUCCCUGAAAGCCAACGGGCUCGGUGUGGUCCACCCGUCAGAAGGCAUAGGUAGAUGGUGGGCAUCUGCCUCAGACAUAGUUCUCAAGUUCAGCCAGAAGAAUGCGCGUUGAGCCCUCUGCAGCCCGUGUCGACGGAGGUGUUGUCUCCAGGAAGCAUCAUGGAAAGGCGUGGUGGUGCACAAGGGCCUUCAGGAUGCCUGCGCCUGGUGACGGCUGCGCCUCAGGUUCUGGGCCUGACUCGGAAGGGUGCCUGUGAGCAGAAGAGCUGGCACGCGCAGCUCAGUGGACCAUCAGUGCCAACCCGUCCUGUACCCUGGCUGAGGGGUGUGCUAAGUGGCAGGCAAGUUUCAGCAGGAUUUUUUCGUUUCUUCGCUAGGUUUGUAGCUCUCUUGUGACAGACAAGCGAUUGUCACUGGUUGAGCUGAGGAUGAUUUAAGUUAUCCCUGUCUGAAAUGACACUUUCUGAAGAGUCAUGGUUUACUGAGGCUCGACUUUUAAGACCUAUUUUGAGAAUGUCCACAGUAAGAUUGCUUCUGUUAGAGUGAGGUGUGUUGUCUUCGUUACUCAGAUUCCCGGUUGGCUCAUCGUAAGGCGUGGCACAAAAUCACCAUCGAAAGAAAGGGCCUUCGGGAUGCCUCUAUCUGGUUAUUGCCCUGUAGUGCCAGAGAGAACCACAUAGCCUGCUGCUGCUCCUGCCUUUAAUUUCCCAAAGAGUCAUCAGACGACCUUGGAGUUUGUUCUGCAAGAGGAGCCAGUAAGGCCUCGUGACUGUGGUCACCCUCGGAAGCCUUUGACAGCUAGCUGGUGAGGGCGCUCAGUCGGAGGCCCUGGGGAGGCCCCUGCUAAGCCGAGAAAAGCAUUUCUCACAGUGGAUUUCCUGGAAGUCAGGGUUGGCCUUUGUAUUUUGAAGCACAAAUAAACUUUAUAAAAUUUAA